rnacentral:tRNA from 1 species
GUUCUCGUAGUUAAAUGGAUAUAACAAUAGCCUCCUAAGCUGUAAUUGUGGGUUCGAUUCCCGCCGGGAACA